CAUCUUUCCAUACAAAGAGUUUCACCGUUCGGAUUUCCACGAGAAUCCUUGUUUGGUUCGUUGCCUUCUCUUAAGAGUCCAGUAUCCCAUCGAAUUUGCUGGCCUUUGAAUGAAACCACUGUCUUCUGUCUCUACAGCCACUUAAACUCGAUGUUGCCGCCGCAUCAAGUUUUGAUAUUUCUUCUUUGGGUAUUGGGAUUCUUUUUCUCACUGUUCGACGCAACUUUUUACCUGAUUGGGGGAUACUACCAGGUGUUGGGUUUCAGUUUUGGCGAGAGAAAUCAAGAAAAUUAAACCCUAAGCCUAGUUCUUCCUACUCAGCCAGGUAGUGUAUAGGUGCCAUUUUCACCCACUUUAGUAGUUACUGUUCACCUAGCUCACUGAUUGGGUCUUACAAGUCACAAAGGAAACAAAGUCAAAAAAGAGGGAUGUAAAAAAAGAACAGUACAGACAACGAGAGAAGAGAUUAUUAGUGAUUCUCUGAGAUAAUCAAUUGGGAAGAAAAUCUAUCAAGAGAAGAGAGUAUAGAGAAUUUCUCAGAGAAUCUCAUUCUGAAGUACAGAUUGGAUUAGACAUUUUCAAUGCAAAAUACUACCAGAAAUGGUAUACAAUUACAAAUGGAGCAUGCAGACGACGUCUCUUCCUCUUCCAGAUUUAUAUGGAAGAUUGAAAACAUUUCAAAAUUGGAUGAUGAAAGUCGUUUCUCUCCUAUUUUCAAAACUGGUCCUCAUAAAUGGCGAUUGCUGGCUUUUCGAAGGGGAUGUAAUAUGAAUGGUUACUUAUCAAUCUACGUGGUUGCUAUUGAAUGUAAGGAAUGGCAAUUUGCGAAAUUCAUUUUGUCCAUUGUUGAUCAGGCAAAUAACAAAAACACAUCGAAAAAAGACACGGAAGACAUGUUCCGGUUCACCAAAGAUGAGAGCGACUGGGGUUUUGAUGAGUUCAUACAGUUGAAAGAAUUCAAAGAUCCUAGCAAUGGGUAUAUCGUGAAUGAUGCUUGUAUUAUUGAAGUUGAAUUCUGUUUAGACUCAAUACAAGAUUUUAAAGAGGAGCCGGUGCCCAUGGAACUCAUGGAAUCCGUCGAGGAGAGGAAUUUUGUUAAAAUGUCAAUACAACAAUGUGAUACACAUAGGAAGCUAGAUAAGAAAAUCAAUAAACAACUAGCGGAUAAGGUACCAGUGGCAAAGUUUCAAGAGAGAUCGUUUUGUAUCGAGACCACUGCUAGUACCAGUACCUUACUAGCUAAUACUUCAGUAUGUCUGGAUAAUGAUUCAGUUUUUAUUUGUGCAUUUUACCAAACCUCUACAGUAUCAAUGGGCUCUGGAUCCAUGCUGCAUAUUGCCAACGGAGAAGAGGUAAAAGAGGAUGAGGUAUCUGCUGGACCGAAUGUCAUACAUGUUCACCGAAAAUGCGUAGAGUUGACGCCUCGACUGUAUUAUGUUGGUAAAACUGUUAUGAACUUGGAGCUGACAAGAGUUUCGGAGCUCAAAUAUUGUUGUUGUGGGUUAAAGGGUGCAGCUCUUGGCUGUUUUAUGCGUUCUUGCAGGAAUGCUUAUCACGUUCCUUGUGCAUUUGACACUUCAGGUUGCAGGUGGGAUGAUGAAGGUCGUCUAAUGUUAUGUCCCAGCCAUUCUGGUGCGAAGUUUUCACAUGAGAAAACCAAGAAGGGAAAAUUUAUGGCGAAGGACAAUUCUUCAGCCAUUCAAAGUAUCGACGAUUUUCUAGAUGGUUUGGAAAUAAUGUCGGCAAAGAAUAAAGAUAGCGAUAUAUGUAACGAUAUUAUGGGUGAUCCUCGGGGUGUAAACUUUAGAAGUAGUUUGAAAGAGGUUGAAGUGUUAUAUAAAAUUGUAGUGAAAAAUAAUCCGUCAGCACAACGACACUGUGAUAAUUGUGGUUUUUUUUUCUGUUUUUGUGUUUGAUUUCGCCAAUGCGGAUAGAGGCUUAGUUGAAGCCAUAGCUGAGAGAUGGUGGGGAAAAACCAAGAGCUUUCAUUUUAAGGAGUUUGAUCUUGUCAUCCUUGCUUUAGAUUGGUAUAUGUUGACGGGAGUUCCCACUGGUGACCCCAGUAAACGUCACGUAGUUAUGCCGCAGUUGGGUAGUGAGCUAACAUAUGCUGUUAUGGAUGAUAUAUAUUUCCCAGUUUCAAAAAUUAUGGUACAUGGAACACGAAGACUAAUUCAAUAUCAUUGGCUACCUUGAGAAACUACAUUAAAAGUAGAGAAAACCAGGAUAAUAGUGGAUGUGCAGAGCUAUUGGCACGAGCAUUCUUUCUUUGGUGUUUUGGUCAUUUUCUUCUUGCGGAUGCUAGUGGAAGAGUAGAUAAACGUUGGGUCUUAUUAAUGAAUGAUUUAGAUAGAGUUGGGGAGUAUGAUUGGGGUAUAGCUUCCUUAGGUAAUACCUAUAAAUUUCUUGACGAAUGGUCAACCAAAGGUAAGGAUUUAUCUGGCAUGGUUAUGGUACUUGAGUAUUGGUACUAUUAUUACUUUCGCAACAUGCAACCCUUGCUUUGUCAGACACCGGGAGGACAUCAAGAUGUUUUCCCAAAGAUUUGUCUCUUCAAGAAGGCUAACAUUAUAUCAAGGAAGAGAGGACAAGGAGGAGGCCAAAAGGAUACGAGGAAACACUCAGUCUCCAGCGCAAGAGCACAGAUGGACACUAGAACAAGUACAUCAUGUAUUUGGCAACCAUGGGAAGAUAGUGAGUUUUCUGGGGGAGAACAUUAUGACCACGCACUACACUUAUCCAGAAGGAGAGUUGUGUUUUUUGACCUGGAAAAAAUAAAUACAAGAAUUAGUUGUUACUUGGCCGAGAGAUUCCAGAGGCAGAUAGCAGGUGAGAUUGUAGUCCCAGCAAACCCUCCAAAUUUGCAAUCAUUUGUGGACAAAAGGAUUGUAGAUGUAGGCGCCGACUAUUACACAGUCACUGAGGAUCAAUAUAACAGUUGGUGGAAGAAGAAGACUGUUGGACCUUAUCUCACUGAGUCAUACCGUGCUCAAAAUGUCGAUGAAAUAGCAUUGGGUAGCACAGCUGUUCCUCGUCAUUUGUUUCCUAAUCAUCCGCCUCCUAACAUGAUAUCACAAAACUAUACUUAUGGCACACAGAAUGAGCCAUUGUCACAGCUGCCGGAGAUACAUUUCACUUUACCAUUUUCCAAUGAAGCCGGCGUAGAACAACCAGUACUAGUUCCGAGGCUUCCUUGUCCGUAUAACUUUCGCCAGAUGAGUUUGACAUUGGAGGAUUGUUAUAAAUUUAUGGAACAACAAUGUUCAUUCGAGCUUGGAGCUCGUCAAGUCGUAUGGAGUGAGACACUGCGUCGAGCUACAACUCCAUGUUCCUCAUAUGGCAGAUCUUCUUCUUCUUCAACGCCAUUUGUCUUUUCCCAACAAAAAAACAAUCCAUAAGAUCUAACAUUGGGUGGUACAUAUCACAAUAACCUACAGGUCGAGAAUUUUACACUCCUGGGUGUGAAGAUGGAGCUACUACAUCACAACAUCCACAACAACAUUAACAAAGCAAUGAAUAUACAGAUGCAUUGAUGGAUGAACGAUAUUUUGAUCCGUAAUGGCUUAAAACAUAUCCCCUAAAUUAAAGUGAUUUAUUAGUAAUUUUAAUUUCGAUGUACUUUUUAAAUUUUUGGAAGUAGAAUUUUAAUUUUAAUGUACGUUUUUAAUUUCU